UACCUCUGUCGCCAAAAUAGAGAGUUGAGGAUGUUAUGACACGUGCUCAGUAACGUCACACGUGUCAAGUGUUUCAUAACCUACCGUUUAGGGAUAAGUUAAAGUAUACGGUAUACCGCCCAGAAAGAAUGUUGCGAAAGUACUCGAAGUCAAUAUAGCUCCGUCCAGUUCUCAGUUUCAUCGACUUGGUCACGGUGUUCGGUGAAAUUGCCAUCAUCCACCUAUGGUAUUUCAACGAAAAAAUGGCGCUAGUAAAUAAGUUUCAACGAAUGUCGAGGGCGUUCUUCAAUGUUGCUUCACAUUAUUCGAAAUACAAAAACAACACGACGUUGUCCUCCUUUCAAGCGAUAAGACAAACCUCGACCACUCAACCGCUUUCGGAAAAACAGGAAGUCAACAUAACAUUUAUCAAGGCAAAUGGAGAAAAGAUUAAGGCAAAAGGAAAAGAGGGAGAUACUAUUUUAGAUAUUGUUGUAAACAAUGAAAUAGAUUUGGAUGGCUAUGGAGCUUGUGAAGGAACCCUAACUUGCAGUACAUGUCAUUUAAUAUUUCCAAAAGAAGUUUACGACACUCUUCCUGACAAACCAACAGAUGAAGAAUUGGACAUGUUGGACUUAGCAUAUGAAUUAACAGAUACGUCGCGUUUAGGCUGCCAGAUAGUUAUGACUAAAGAAUUAAAUGGAAUCGAAGUGAGAGUACCGACAACCCUCAACGAUGCAAGAGCGUAACCACAUUUUUGUCUACCUCGCUUAAAAUGUACAGAAUUUGAACAAUAAGCAUUCGAAUUUUUUAAUUAAAGAUAGAGAAUAUAAGAAGAACUAUUCUUUAAUAGCAAUAUAGGCGAUUAAGUACAGUCGUCUCUUAAUUCAACAGCUUUUUCUCUUCCCAAUUCAAGAACCUUUUUAUCCCCACCAUUCUGCGCAGUUGCUUUAGAAAGAGAACGGGAGAUUAUCAAGAGAGACAAAACGAACCUAGUGGGCUCUAUGUGUGAGUGUCCACGCCGACGAGAAAUCUGCUAUAAAACAGUUCAAAUGUGCUCUAAACCAGCUUUUAAUUUUCUGUAAAUCUACUCUAUAACAGCAUAAAAUCUACUCUACGUCUGCUCUAAAACAGCACAAAAUCUGUUCUAAAUCUGCUUUAAAGCGACACGAAAUCUGCAAAAGGUGCUGCUCUAAAACUCUAAAAACGCGAAUUAUUGAACAAUGCGCCCUAAUUGGAUAUAAAAUACAAUUGAGAAAACUA